rnacentral:rRNA from 1 species
UACGUAGGGGGCUAACGUUGUCCGGAUUUAUUGGGCGUAAAGAGCGUGUAGGCGGCCAGGUAGGUCUGCUGUGAAAACUCGAGGCUCAACCUCGAGAUGUCGGCGGAAACCAUCUGGCUAGAGUCCGGAAGAGGAGAGUGGAAUUCCUGGUGUAGCGGUGAAAUGCGCAGAUAUCAGGAAGAACACCCGUGGCGAAGGCGGCUCUCUGGGACGGUACUGACGCUGAGACGCGAAAGCGUGGGGAGCGAACAGG